GAGGAGGAGUGAGAGGCAUAUGAGGUUGGGAAGGGGAGGCGAGGAGGGUUGGUGGCAUCAGAGCUAAGGGAGAAGAGGAGCUUUGGUGGUCGCACGGAGUUAGAUGCGGUGUGGAUGAUGGGUGAGACGCGAACAACAGUGGAAUAGGGCCGCAGCGAAGGCGACGUGAACAUAGCGAUCUAGACCUCACGCGAUGGGGGUAGGGGAUGAGGAGGGGAACUGGCGAGAGGAAGAGAAGGGAAGGGGGCA
rnacentral:lncRNA from 1 species